AACGUAGGAGACAAACGUUAUCCGGAUUUACUGGGCGUAAAGGGCGUGUAGGUGGUUGUGUAAGUCUGGCGUGAAAUUUUUCGGCUUAACCGGGAAAGGUCGUCGGAUACUGCACAACUAGAGGACGGUAGAGGCGUGUGGAAUUCCGGGUGUAGUGGUGAAAUGCGUAGAGAUCCGGAGGAACACCAGUGGCGAAGGCGACACGCUGGGCCGUACCUGACACUGAUGCGCGACAGCAUGGGGAGCAAACAGG
rnacentral:rRNA from 1 species